rnacentral:rRNA from 1 species
CUCGUAGGUGGUUUGUCGCGUUGUUCGUGAAAACUCACAGCUUAACUGUGGGCGUGCGGGCGAUACGGGCAGACUAGAGUACUGCAGGGGAGACUGGAAUUCCUGGUGUAGCGGUGGAAUGCGCAGAUAUCAGGAGGAACACCGGUGGCGAAGGCGGGUCUCUGGGCAGUAACUGACGCUGAGGAGCGAAAGCGUGGGGAGCAAACA